rnacentral:lncRNA from 1 species
AAGAAAACAAAUAAAAUGCUUAGCACUUAGCAGCUUGUAUGCCAGCGAAUUCUCCAAACUGAGACAGUUCCUAAACAAAAAAGGUGAGGUGAAAAAAUUGUAACCACAUGCUCAAUAGCAGAAGUUGUUUGGUGUUGGUAUCGACAGAAUACAUGUGGCUGAAGACAUACACUCUAAUUUAUCAGUUACAGAGUCCUGCCAGCUCAUUUAGGUAAUCUGAAGACAAAUGAACAGCUAGAUUAAAUUUACAACAACAACAACUACCCAGUAUAGUCCCACAAAGUGGAGUUUGGGGAGUGUAAUAUGUAGACGGGCCUUACCCCUACCCGAAAGGGCAGAGAGGCUGUUUCCAAUAGCUAGAUUAAAUUUGCGGAGAAGAAAUUGCAAAAUAUGAGCUACUUUAAGAAAGAAGAGAAUAAAAAGCUGGAAAAUCAAUUGUCCGCAAUGAGCUCGGGUUCUGCUUAUUUCUAUGCAAUAGAAACAAAACUGUGCUCUAUUAUGGGGUAGUUUCUAUAUUUUACAUUUAAAGUUAUUAUAGCAACAAUAUAGCAGAAGAUCAAGCUACUCCAAGUAAUUAUAUCAUCUGUUGCUUUGUGACAGCAGAAACUGAACUUGUUGAAGGUAACAAUUGAUAGCUUCCAAGUGUCAUAUGCUAUUCAGCCAAUAUGUGUAGAUUGUAGAUAUAGAGGGUGUUUGGCUAAGCUUAUAAGCUGGUCAAACAGGCUUAUAAGCACUUUUUGGCUUAUCUACGCGUCUGGUAAAAUUAAAAGUGCUUAUAAGCCAAAAGCCACAAGUUGGUCUCCCCCAACUUAUCAAAUUUCAAGUUAUAAGCACUUUAAGUUUAUCAAAAUAUUUACUAUUCUAUCCCUAAAAUACUUCUUUUUAAAACAAAACUCUUCAUAUACCCAAUUCUUCAGCUGCUUAUUAUUAAUUUAGCACUUUUAUCCAAAACACGUAACUGCUUAUUUUUUAAAUCAUCUUCAGCUCUUAAAAGUGCUUUUCAGCACCUAAUAUUAGUCAGCCACUCUAAAUCAGCUUAAGCUAAACAGACUCAUAUUUUCUUUAAACUCUCGCAUUGAUCUGCUUGAUUAUAAUGUACAAAAAGAAAAUAUUUACCAAAAUGAACCAACUACCAACCACGUUAUUGUAAGCGGAUCAUCAACCGUGCAGCCAAAGUAGGGGGCACAGGAAAGAAGAAAAUAGAAAAUAAAACAGAAUACAAUGGAGCACUUACAAAAGCACAAAGAAAACAUAUAAAUCAGCCAAUCAGGUGAUCAGUUGCAGACUUGCAGCAAAUAUGCACAAAGGUCGGCAUACUAACUUCAAGCACUCAAUUUCGCCUACUGAAGCAUAUGAUGAAGAAAUAGAAACAUGUGGAAUCUUAAAAUUGAAGUAUCAUCUUUUAGCAAGAUUUGCAAUAUGAUGAACACCAUAGCAAAUACAAGGACAACAUAAUAAUAUAUGUCCAUUUAUUAUGGAACAGUUACUUGGUUAUUUACAAAGAACAAACCACAUGCUCAAUAGCAAAAGCAUAAAAAUCCAAAGCUCAUACCUGAAUAAUGCUACUUGGCUUCAUUAAAGGGAGGCCAAGUUCAUAUAAUUUCUUGGAACCCCAGCUCUCGAACCAAUGAAGACCAGCACAUU